AGACCAGAGAGGCAGGUGGCGGUUGCCGGUCCGGGAAUCUGGGCCAGUCCGCCUUCCUCCAAGGCAUCAGAGGGGAGGGAUUUCAAGGGUCCUCAAAGGUUCCCCUUCUUAAGCAAUGCAUAGCACCCAUCCUAGGAGCGUCCGUCCGUUCACUUGUAUGUCUGUCCGAAUGGAAGUGCCUCCUUGGGCCAGAACUCACAAGUGGCCAGGCCAGCAUUGGAAGCCAGCUCUGCCUGCCCGCACAGGCCUGGACGCCCAGCCACAACCUGGUGUCCCCUCUGCCCAGCUCUCGCCUUGGCUCUCAGCUCCAAGAGGAUCACCUGGAAUCCAUCAUUGUCCACUGGAACUUUCUAUGAUGAUGGAAAUGCAUGCAGUUCUGCACUGUCGAAUACAGUGGUAGUCAGUAGCCAUAAGUGGCUACUGAGCACUCAAAAUGUGCCUAGCGCAACUAAGAAACUGAAUUUAUUUUAUUUUAUUUUAUUUUAAAAAUAAAGGCUAGUCUCAAACUCCCAACCGCAGGUAAUCUGCCCGCCUCAGUCUCCCAAAGUGCUGGGAUCACAGGUGUGAGCCACUGCGCCCGGCCUGAAGAUCCUUUCUAACAGAAUCAGAAUUGCACUGAUCGGAAGCAUGUCAGAGAUGCUGGUAGCUCUCUUGGAAUCCCAGUUAUUUUAGGAAGGAGUGCCUGAAUGAUCCAUGAGUGAAAAAGCCUAUCUUUGGCUUUAAGAUCAGUGGCCAGUUCCAUCUGGGAAGAAUUUAAGUGAUGAGUUAGGUCACUGGAGGCAUCCAUUUGGCAACUGUACAAUGAACAUCUAUGAUAGGUCAGGCUCUGGAGAAACAGAAACACACAUCUGGUCCUCGCUCUUGAGGAGCCCCCAGUCUGGGGACUGAUUUCUCAGUAAAGGGUGGGUAGACAAAGGUGCUCCCUCGAAGGAGAGCCCAAGGGUGCAGCAUCUGGGCUUGGAGUUUGACUGACAGCCCUCCCCCACAUUGAGGUCACGGUGAGUGAGGGCACAGGACAGGGCCCUCCAGCCCUUAUGCUCAGUCACUGGUGGAGCAUGAGUGGCAGCUGCCAAAGGGACAUGUUGACCAUCUUCUGUCCUUCUUUCUGACUUCAUAGCUUUGAACCCAGGGUGAGUCUGGGAUCCUCUAGAUUCCCCUAUGCUAUUGCCCCAAAUAGCUUCCAUGGGGUGGUUUGAAACAUAAAAACCAUCAGCUUUCAUCAACACUUCCCUCUAGAGGCUCAGAGAACCUUAAUUUCUUUUAAGGCACAGCUUACCUAAAGUGUGCAGCCACUAACUGCACAGCUCGAUGAAUGUUUACACACAUACCCUCCUGUGUUAACCAGCACUCAGAUCAAGACAGAGAAUAUUUCCAAAACCCCAGAAG
rnacentral:lncRNA from 1 species